ACGAACGCUGGCGGCGUGCCUAAUACAUGCAAGUAGAACGCUGAAGGCGGAGCUUGCUUCUCUGGAUGAGUUGCGAACGGGUGAGUAACGCGUAGGUAACCUGCCUGGUAGCGGGGGAUAACUAUUGGAAACGAUAGCUAAUACCGCAUAAGAGUAGAUGUUGCAUGACAUUUGCUUAAAAGGUGCAAUUGCAUCACUACCAGAUGGACCUGCGUUGUAUUAGCUAGUUGGUGGGGUAACGGCUCACCAAGGCGACGAUACAUAGCCGACCUGAGAGGGUGAUCGGCCACACUGGGACUGAGACACGGCCCAGACUCCUACGGGAGGCAGCAGUAGGGAAUCUUCGGCAAUGGACGGAAGUCUGACCGAGCAACGCCGCGUGAGUGAAGAAGGUUUUCGGAUCGUAAAGCUCUGUUGUAAGAGAAGAACGAGUGUGAGAGUGGAAAGUUCACACUGUGACGGUAUCUUACCAGAAAGGGACGGCUAACUACGUG
rnacentral:rRNA from 1 species